rnacentral:misc_RNA from 1 species
GAUGAAGAACGUAGCGAAAUGCGAUAAGUAAUGUGAAUUGCAGAAUCCAGUGAAUCAUCGAAUCUUUGAACGCACAUUGCGCCCGCUGGUACUCCGGCGGGCACGCCUGUCCGAGCGUCAUUUCAACCCUCAAGCCCUCCUUCGGGAUGGGCCUGGUGUUGGGGCUCGGCCGCCAUCUCCGGCGGCCGUCCCCUAAAUACAGUGGCAGUCACGUCGCGACUCCUUUGCGUAGUAGAAACACCUCGCUCCGGAUAGCAACGCGGUCCACGCCGUAAAACCCCCAAUUUUCAAUGGUUGACCUCGGAUCAGGUGGGAAUACCCGCUGAACUUAAGCAUAUCAAUAAGCGGAGGA